rnacentral:rRNA from 1 species
UACGUAGGGAGCAAGCGUUGUCCGGAAUCAUUGGGCGUAAAGCGCGCGUAGGUGGCCUCGUAAGUCCGCUGUGAAAGUCAAAGGCUCAACCUUUGAAAGCCGGUGGAUACUGUGAGGCUAGAGUACGGAAGAGGCGAGUGGAAUUCCUGGUGUAGCGGUGGAAUGCGCAGAUAUCAGGAGGAACACCAAUAGCGAAGGCAGCUCGCUGGGACGGUACUGACGCUGAGGCGCGAAAGCGUGGGGAGCGAACAGG